rnacentral:lncRNA from 1 species
UAUUUUAAAGUGCAAGAUGUUGACACUGUCCCUGGCAGAACCUAUUUUUGAAAAACAUAAAGUGCUUUUUAUUUUAACUUUUUUUUUUUUAACUUGAAAACCACAGAAAACAAAACAGAAUUUCUAUUAUAGUAGGUACUUUCCUUGCUGCAGCAGGAAUUAUUCAGUCUGAACUGGGCAUUUCAAUGCGUGGUAUUUUUUUCCUUUCAUUUUUGCAAGUAAAAAAAUCAUAUUUUUAUGCUGUUCUUCAGUAACACACAGUC